GAGCCUAUGCUGCUGCUCUGUUUUCUGUUGAAACAAAGGUUGGCGGCAGCGGAUUUGAAGCAGCUAACAGAACACAAUCUUCCUGAUCUCCGGUAACGUGUUCCAUUUUGGCCCGAUUAGUAGAUACACUUAAGGAUCCAUUCUUUUAUGGAUAAAUAUCAUAAAAAAAUUAGUUAACUUUCUCAUCGAUCAAUUUUUUUAUAUUAUCAUAUUUUUCAAAAUAGAUAAGUUACUUUCUUAUAGAUAGUAUUUAUCUAUGAAACAGAAAAAAAAUUUAUUCACCGAGGAGGUGGCUAAAUUUUUUUCCUAUCAACCAGU
rnacentral:lncRNA from 1 species